AGGCGCGAAACCUUUACACUGCACGACAGUGCGAUAGGGGGAUCCCAAGUGCACAGGCAUAGCGCCUGUGCUUUUCGGUACCGUAAGGUGGUACCAGAAUAAGAGCUGGGCAAGACCGGUGCCAGCCGCCGCGGUAAUACCGGCAGCUCAAGUGAUGACCGAUAUUAUUGGGCCUAAAGCGUCCGUAGCCGGCCACGAAGGUUCAUCGGGAAAUCCGCCAGCUCAACUGGCGGGCGUCCGGUGAAAACCACGUGGCUUGGGACCGGAAGGCUCGAGGGGUACGUCCGGGGUAGGAGUGAAAUCCCGUAAUCCUGGACGGACCACCGAUGGCGAAAGCACCUCGAGAAGACGGAUCCGACAGUGAGGGACGAAAGCCAGGGUCUCGAACCGGAUUAGAUACCCUGG
rnacentral:rRNA from 1 species